ACGAUGCAUCAUAACAUUAACUAGUUGUUAGAAAGGCGGCAGGAAUAGGAGCAUCCAUACGCGCACGCAAUUAGAACCCCGCCGUGAGAUGCGUCGGUGGCUGUGAGGCAGGUGGGACAUGCCUGGGAGGCUGAAAGGGCUUCCGGACGCAUAAAUCGCACCAGGCGCCGUCGUACGCCGGACCACCGAUGCAUCAUAACAUAACUAGUUGUUAAAAAGGCGGCAGGAAUAGGAGCAUCCAUACGGUCACGCAAUUAGAACCCCGC
rnacentral:lncRNA from 1 species